AACGAACGCUGGCGGCAGGCUUAAGACAUGCAAGUCGAGGAGAAACCAACUUCGGUUGGUGGAGACCGGCGCACGGGUGAGUAACGCGUGGGAAUUCUACCCUUGGGUACGGGAUAACGUUUGGAAACGGACGCUAAUACCGUAUAACAUCUCCGGAUCAAAGCUCCGGCGCCCAAGGAUGAGCCCGCGUCUGAUUAGGUAGAUGGUAGGGUAAUGGCCUACCAUGCCGACGAUCAGUAGCUGGUUUGAGAAGAUGAUCAGCCACACUGGUACUGAGACACGGACCAG
rnacentral:rRNA from 1 species